CCCAUCGAGACACUGACUCAUGGUCAGGGCUCUGGAAGUGUCAGCAGCCUGACACUUUUUCACUGUAGAGAAAUGCUGCUGAUCUGAGGCCUUUUGAUUGUGAAGAUCACCUGGGGUUUUUCUUAGGAUGCUAAUACUAAUCUCUCUUCUUUUUUUCACCAUAGGUCUUACAGAGAUUACAAAGCCAGGCCCAGAAAUCAUUUACCCCCUCUAAUCAAAUAAACAAAUUAAUCAAUAAGCCCUUUUAUCUUCGGGUUAAAGGUUAAUUAGGUAAGGAAUAAGAACCAGACUGGGAAGUGGGCAGCUGAGAAAGAGCUGAUUGAGCUGUAGCUGAUGAUAUUUCCUUCCUUAAGUGAGUGCAAAGAAUAUGCAUACAAAAGACAGACUAAUUAGUCUCUUUUCAGUUGAAAAAAGAACACAGGGGAAAAUCAGUCAAGGAAAACUAGACAGUAGGAAGCAGUGCUGUUGCUAUUCUGGGGUCUUUUCUGUAUUUCAGAUCAAGGGCCUUGUGGAGUCAUGACAUUCCUCUGGAAAUCAAGUCCAGUGGAGCCACGUCAUGAUCACCAAAGUAAUACUCAGUAUUCAGCAGACUAUGUGUAAAGAUGACAGAUUUCAGUACACCUCUGGAACUGUGAAGGUUAAAAAGGUACAUCACAUGGUUUAAGAGGUGGAAACUCUUCACAGAAACCUCACAGAAACAAGACAAUGGCAUUACCCCUUCCUUUCCUACUCCAGUCCCUUCCAAAUAUACUCCCUUCAGUGUUCAGGCUUCAUUUAGUGCCUUUUCAGUGGUUUCAGAGAAUAGAGAUAAGCUUGGUCUCGUGAGGAGACAUUAUUAGCCAGAAAAUUUUCUUUCUUCUUGGGGUUUUCUGGGGUUUCAGGCCUUACCAAUCAUAAGCAAUUUUUUUUUUUUUUAGAUGGAUGUCUGGCCUAGGAAGGUCUCUGGUGAACCACUGGAUAGAACAGUUUCAGAAAGGAAGUUUAGUAUUAACAGGUUGCUAUUUAUGUGCCUACAGGGAAAACAACACAUUCAGAAACCCUUAUCUUGGAGAAAAUUACUUUUGUAAGAUACUGAGUAGUUCCUUAAAAAAACAUGCCCAGUGAGGAAAGCCUGAAAAAACCAAAGCAUUGUAUUCCAAGUAAGAGAAUAUUGAAAAAGAAUGCCUGUCACAGUCAAAUACAGAAGAGAGUGUGUACCUAAGGGGGAAAGGGGAGGACGGGAUGAUGUUUGGAGCCUGAGUUUAAAAAAUGGUGAGGAGGAAGGCAGGCUGGAAAAGUCUAGGAAGAAUCUUUGCAAUUUUCCCAGGACAGUGUCCUACUCAGGGACUGUCUGCAUGGAUUAGGUGGAUCUGGCUCAAAGACAUGCAGCAAUCUUUCUUUCUUUUGUUUUUUUUUUUUUUUUUUUUUGGUUUUUUUUUUUUUUUUUAAGGAAAAAAUAAAAAUAAAAGCUCCCUUCUGUCCAGUGAAUAUAAUUUCCAUCAUACUGGGUAUAUAUAGACUCAACUUCAGGAAUAGCACUGUAGUCCUCCCCUGAGUGUAUCAAUAACCUGUCCAUCAGUGAGAGCUCUCUCUGUGUAGCUUUGGGGAACUUUACUGCACAGCUGACAUUUCAAUAAGCAGAGGUUUUCCUUUAAUGUGGUUUUAGGAUUGCCUCCUUUCUGAUGUUUCCUGUGCAGCUCCAGCAAAGCCCCCAAAACGUCCAGUAGCUUAAAUAGGUGUGUCCUGGCUGCACAUCUGCUCAUCCAUAAAGCAGGAGCAUUCAUGAUCUUCUGCUCUUACCAUGCUGCAGCAGUUACAGGUCAAAGAGAAGAGUCCCCGGGGCUGUGAAGCAGGUCCCUUUCCUCAUGGGAAUGUCCUGAUGUGGAGCAGGCCAACCAGGCAGCUGUGAAUGGUUACACAUUGCACUUCAUGCUCUAAAGACAGGCUUGCUGCUGUGAGAGCAGCAAACUCUGAACUACAGCUGUGGCUGGAUUGUGUUGCAAAAGAUGUCUGUAGUCAAGGUGAAUGGCUUGGGGACAGAGAGCUGGUGUCCCUGUGGGUGUGAGCAGGAUGUCCAUGUUCUUCUUUUAGUUGGAACAGGUCCAGAGGAGGGCCGUGAAAAUUAUUAGGGGGAUGGAACACCUGUCCUAUGAGAAAAGGCUGAGAGAAUUGGGGUUGUUCAAUCUGGAGAAGAGAAGGCUCCAGGGAGAAUUUAGAGAACCUUUCAGCACCUAAAGGAGCUCCAGGAGAGCUGCAGAGGGACUUUGGACAAGGGCCUGGAGUGACAGAACAAGGGAGAAUGGCUUCACAGCAAGAGAGAGUAGGUUUAGAUUGGAUAUUAGGGAGAAAUUCCUCCCUGUGACGAUGGUGGGGCACUGGCACAGGUUGCCCAGGGGAUGCCCCAUCCCUGGAAGUGUUCAAGACCAGGUUGGAUGGGGCUUGGAGCAAACUGGUCUAGUGGAAGGUGUCCCUGUCCGUGGCAGGGGGGUGGAAUGAGAUGGUCUUUAAGGUCCCUUCCAUCCCAAACCAUUCUGUGGUUCUAUGAUUCUAAACCAGUGCAGCCUCUCAUGGGCUGUGUGUCUGAAUCAGGAGCUGAAGGCAGAGCUUCCAGUCUGUGCAUAACUUUUGCUUUUAAAAAUUUGCAUAAGACAAAGCCUAAGAAUCCCUGAAACUCUCCAGGAUGGUUCACUUCAAUGUAUUGUCCAGUGUCCUUCCUUCCAUCCUCACCCCAACUUCAUUUGAAACCCUGAUACCAGUGUAAGACCCCAUUAAAAUGCUACUAUUUCCUCCACCGCUGAGAAGUGACUUUUACCUUCACUAGGAAAAGGUUUCUUUGCUUCGGGUGUGUCUUUCCUCAGUGUCACAUCUUUCCAGAUGAACUGGUUUGGGAAGGGGAAGGUUCCUGUUUCUGUGACAGUGAAUCUGGCAUGUAGGACCUGGAGGUUUAAAUACUGUAAUUACGCAGUUUCCAGGCUUAAAGUCCAAUUCCAAAUUAAUUCAAAUAUAAAAUUCCUGAAAUAAAUAAAUUAGAAAAAAAAAGGAAAAAAAAUUGCCAGAUUUCCUCUGGCCCACAAGGACAGCUCCUAUUGACCAAUGCCAAGCUCAGUGCUGAGUGGGAGAUAUUUUUUGCCAGCAAUGUUGCAGAUAGAUUUCCCUUCUAAUAUGGAACUUUGCAAAUCUGUUGAAUUAAUUUGAUCUGCCAUUUCCAAGGGGUGGCACUUAGAAAAUCCUUGUCCCAUGGCUGCCAACUUAAGGACCUCAUUCAAUUGCAGAAAACAUCCCUCAUUUGCCCCAGGCUGGGUCAUCAUUAAUCCCUCCCUUGGGCUUGUUUUCAGCCUCAUGGAGACAUGGGCAUGAAACCUUAAUGCCAACUAGAGCAAAGCUUUGAGUUAUGAACUCAUUGACUAAUACAAUUGAUAAAAUGCAAAGCUGGAGGGCGUUGGAGUUUUUUAAUAUUAUUUCCAGAAGGCAAAGGUACAAAGGAGAUAGAAGUAAUGACAUUUUUUUAUGCUGUUUGCUGCAGAGGAGAAAGUGGAAAAUAAGUGGAUUUGUGAGCUUUGACCUUGGCUAGAAUGGGGUUGGAUAUUUUCAACAUAGCAAAGUUAAAAAAGUUCAUGUGAGCUGUGUCCAGUGAAGACAACUACUCCUCCAGGAACCUCUUCCUGUCCUCCAGGACACCAGUGGAUUAAAAGAAAUAUUUUGUGAUAAAAGAACAAUUGUUUUUGUUUGUUUUAUUAAGCAAUUUUUUGAAUGUUUUAAAAUUAUGUUUUAGCUCUUUUCUCCCAUGAGAGCUCUGAGCACUUGGAAGGUAUCAAAGAUUGAACAUAAUCAUAAUAAAAUAGCUUUGACCUUGGAUUAAAAGUUUGCUAAGGUGACAGAGAAGCACAGGAAUCAAUUACAACUCAUAUAUGGAUAAAAUCCAAAGGCUGCAGUUGGUUAAAAUCUUAAGAAUCCAGGACCAAACAAGUUUGCCAGAAAUCACAAAUACCCAGAUUCACAACCAUGUGUCAGCUGCUCUUUUCAGUACACCUUGAUUUUUAAAAAAAAAGGCAAAAAAAGAUGUGCAAGCUCAGGGUCACUCAAUACUCCUCCUGCAGGUAUCCAGAAUUUGAUGGCAUCCAAAGGUGUCUGAGAAGCCUUCACUUGUAGGAUUCAAGGCAAGGCAUCACUGAUGAGAGGAAAUUGGGGGCAGGGUAAGGACUUGCUUUGUCAGAGGGAAAUUUCUGGGGUAUUUUUCAAGAACUUUAAAUUUUUUUUAGAGCUAUUGUCAUCCCUAUUUGGCAGGUCUGCACCCCAAUCACUGCCUGUAGGAAGAGUGAAAAGAAAAUAUGUGGGAUCUUUGUUUCUCACCAUAAAGAGAACAAAGCACAGGGGCAGACAAGUAGGUGCCACCAUUGUAGUGACAAUGACAAAACAAUACCUUUUUCUGAGCUGAUUUCACAAGCUAAUAUAAAGCUUUCAAAACAAAGCUUUGUAAGCGCUCCUGGAAUACAAACAGAAAUGGUUUCUAACCUCUCUAACCCCGUGAAGUGAUUCUUGCAGUUUAAAAUAUCACUAUGCUUAAUGUUGCAUAUUUUCAGAUCACAAAUUAUGACUUUCUUUAAAUGGAUGCUGCGUUUGCUCCCCUUCUGUUCCACAGAGGACAAUGUAUUCAAUUUAUUAACUUUUCAUUCAGGCUCUGAUAGGGAUAUUUGGAGAGCAUUCAAAAGGGUGCUUGGUGCUAGAUAUGGCUCUGAAGAGACCUAGCCCAGGCCCUGGAGAGGUCUAUUUUUAAUGGGAUUCUAGAGGUGACAUUAACAACAAGCUUGGGGCAAUGAAGCACAAGGAUGACAAGGUGCCCGGAUAAAAAGUGCUUUCUGGAGGUUUGAUUAAUGUGCUUUGGUUCCCUGUGCCCUCCUGCAGCAGAAACUCUUCCUAACACACUCCUGUGCCCGAAGGGGAACUGCAAAAGUGAUGACAACCACCCUGCCCCACAGCAUUUGGGGAAAGUUUUUGUGACAUCUGGGUUGUGCACGUCCAUCACCCUCUGCUUUCCGCUCUGCUGCCGCUACAGCCACUCACCAGCACCCCGGGAGACCUGAGCUCCUUCUCAAAGGGUAGCUGGCACAAGGUUUGUCUUGGAAGGCCAGAUGUGCCCAAAAUCAUGCUGAAUUAUGGCAGUAUUUUGGGUGGAAGUCUGGAGCUCUCUAAUCCAACCUGCUCAAAGCAGGAUGAACUUGCAAUUUACACUCGAUACCUCACAGCCUCAACCAGGUGCAAUUUGAGCAUCUUCAAGGAUGGAGGUUCUCCUGGUCCAUGUUGCAGUGUUUGAUCACUGCCAUGGUGAUGCCAAAACCUCCUCAUCCAAUGUUCACUCUCAGCAUUGAACUCCUCUGAGUAGGAAAUGGGAUUUUCUUGUACACAAUCCUUCACUUUGAGCAAUGCCUACAAGCAAAGAAAAGAAAACAUCAACCACUUUUUCAGAAUAUGAUUAGACACUUAAGGGUCUUCUGAAGUUAGAAAAAAAAAAAAAUUAAAACAGAUUGUGACUCAAGGAUUUAAGUGCAAAUCACCUCUUACUACUCUUCCCUUUCAGAAGAGCAAGUCAUUGAUUCCAGGCUGGGAUUCAGUCAAUUCACUCAUCACCAUCACAUAGAUGCUUAUUUUUUGGGAUUAUUGAAGAAAUCCCAAGAGACUUUGCCUUGGAAACCAACAUGGUCAGAAAAACUUUCCCAUUAACAAAAGAAUCUGAAGACCACUUGAGAGAAUAUUUUCAUUUUAUAAGAAAAUUGUUAACCUGGUGUUGAAGCACACAAGAAAAGCUAUAUCUCCUAGUUUUUAGUGUUCUGACUCUGUUUGCAUCAGAAUAUCAUUGAAAAUAAAGAAGAUGAGGUUAAAUUAAUACUACCUCUGAUCAUUAAUUCUGUAUAUAUGAAAUAAAACACUUUUUGGAGAAACAUUUUGUCCAUCUGCAGAACUAUGAGAAUGUCUUCCAUCCUCUUUAUAAAGACAAAUUUCAGGGAGGAGUUUUAUAAUGAUUUUUGGCCUUGUGGCAGAAUUUUUAAAGUGAACUGUAGCUAAACAAUUAUAUUUAUUACAAAUAGCUCUCCUGCAGUUGCUCAUCUACCCUCAUCUUUAGCAGAUUUGUCUGAAGUCACUGUAGGGAAUAGUUACUACAAAACUGCCUGCAACUUUAAAAAGAUUCAUCAUGGCAACAGCUCUUGAAGACAGAGGAGUGUUUUUUUCUCUCUUGCUUUCAAGAGAAUAAUGAGGCUGGUGCUCAGUAACCUGCCAGGUGCUUUACAGGAAGAUGGUGAUUGAGAAGUUAAUUAAAUGCAGGAUUCCCACGUCCUGGGUUAGCAUCCUAAUGGCAAGAACAUUUUUCUCUGUGUUUCAGGGAGGAGAUGUCUCUGCCCUCCAAUGUGCCCUGAGGAUGAUUAAAGUUUAAAGGCCACAGCUUUGGGGCACAGUGCUAUCAGUCAUAUAUGACAGGAAAUCAAAGUAUCAUUCCUCUUGUGUUCAUUAAAGAGCUCAUGGUGUACUUUGGUUGGUUUUUAUCGAAGUCCUCUUUCCUGCAACCUGCAAAUUCAAAUUUGGGUCUAUGUGCAUUUCAUCCACCAACAGCACAUAUUUAAGUAGCAUAUACAUAUUCAUCUUCACACCCUGUCUGCUUCUUCUCUUGUGACAUGUGUGUUUAACUUACAUGGCAACCAUGCAUCACCUUCUUUCAGAUAAAUAACAGUGAAAUUCUCAUUAGUCUAUAGGUUAUAAGGUUUUAAAAUGUCAAAAAAGCAAGAUGGAGCUGCUAAUUGAUUAACCUCAGGUAGUGCAAGGCUGCACCCUCAAACACUGAAUAUUUAGUGGAUUUAAAGCUGUACCAAGUUUUCUAGUGACUAAGGAUAGAAUUAAAUCCAAAAUUUCAUUUGGAGAUAAUUGUCACUUACCCAAAAGUGUUUCUUUACUGAGAAGAACAUUAUUUGAAAAUGAAUUACAAAUACACUAAAUAUGUUGGCUGUAUAACUAUUGCAGCUAGGCUGACAUAAAUAUUUUAAAUAAGCAAACACAUUAAAUGGUUUUUGCUCAUAAGUUCACCUACCUAUGCAUUAAAUACCAAAUCUGUAGCCUAGAAGGAGGUAUUUUAUGUAUAAAUCAAAUAUGCAUAAAUUAAAGGAAAAAUAACACAUGUUCUUAGCAACCCACUCAUAGUUUAGUAACAUAUGUUCCAGACCAGCAAGGGAUGAGUCUUGGAGGGAAACAAAAGUCCUUGGAGAUACUGAUUCUAGUCCCUGUUUUGUGCUGAAUUCCCAAAAGGGAGAAUGGAAACAGCACCAGAACCACUGCCUGAGACCUUCUGUGGUGUCUCAGGGAUUAGACAAAAUGACAAGGACACAGGAUGAGGUGAAAACAGUAAUUCCCUGCUAGACUUAAAUGUUUGGAGAUGCUCAAAGGGAUGGACUUUGUUUUUCUUCCAGUACUGGAGAACUACCAAAGCUAACAGGAAUUUAUCAGGAAUAGCUACUUAAGAUAGCAUGAGAUCUGUUGGGUAAUCUUUUACAUAGCUGCAAAACCUAAUAACAACAUUACAGAUGUUGAUGUAACUAAAACUGACACUGAUCUGAUGAUCUUUAAUCUGUUACAAGUAUUUCAUGCGAAUAAAACUUGUGUUAAAACUCUAGUUUUGUCAUUUAUGACUAAGAAUCCAUGCAGCUCUGUACAUGCUCAGGGAAGAGAUGUAGCAGAAAAUUACAAUGGGUGUGAAAACUAUUCUACAAAAAACAGUGAUGCUGACAUUGUGCAAAAGGGAAGAAACCCAGUCCAACAAGAAUUGUGUGUGUAUAACAAAACACACACACAGCACCCUUCCUCUGUUAUUUUCAAAGAACACCAUUGUAGCUGCAAAUCUGUAACUGGAAAAAGGCAAAAGGGAGGGUUCCCCAGUUAUCUAAUUCUGGUAUCCAUUAUGUGGCUGUGUUCUGAAAUUAGGGAAUCACAUAUUGCUUUUCUAUUUGCAGGAGCUGUACCCUGUUCAUGGCCUCUCUUGGACAGCACUCUCUAAAAGAGAAAUUAUUCAUUCUUUGUUUCCCCCUCCACCAUGAGUGAUGCUCCUGCCUUCUGUACAACAUGUGGUUCAAAAUCAUCAACUUUCUUCUGGAUUUUAUUAUCAUUGACAUUGAUACAGUGCUCUGCCUUCUCAAUCUGAAUAUGAAUGUAGUAAAUUUUCACAACACCUGCUUGGGAUGAGCAAAGGCUCCCUAAUUACUGGGCUUGUUUCGAUGAGAAACUGAAACACAGAAAGAUGAAGUCCAAAUAUAUCUACUAACUGUGCAUCCUCAUUUUAGGACUGUUAAUAUAAAAGAGAUCAGAAUAAAUGUCACAGUCUCACCUGGCUUUGAAUUUCAUAGAAUCAUAGAAUGGUUAAGGUUGUACAAGUUCUGUAAGAUCAUCAUCAAGCCCAAUUGUCAACCCAUCACCACCACCAGGUUUACCACUAAACCCAUGUCCCCACGUGCCACAUCCACAUGUUUUCUGAACACUUCCAGGGAUGGUGACUCCACCACGUCCCUGGACAGCCUGUUCCAAUGCUUCCUUUCUAGGAAGAAAUUUUCCCUAAUAUCCAAUCCAAACCUCCCCAGGUGCAACUUGAGGCUGUUUCCUCUCAUCCUGUCCCUUGUUCCCUGAGAGCAGAGCCCAACUUUCCCCCACCACCACCCCCGGCUUCCCCCUCCUGUCAGGGAGUUGCAGAGCCAGAAGGUCCCCCCUGAGCCUCCUUUUCUCCAGGCUGAGCCCCCCCCAGCUCCCUCAGCUGCUCCUCAUCAGACUUUUGCCUCAGACCCUCCCCUGGCUCCAUUGCCCUAAAUGGCUUUCUUGUAGUGAAAGGAAAAGAUCGAGGCUGGUUAUUAAAUCCUACUUUAUACAGAGAAUAGAUUUCAGACAGUUGAAGAAUUGUUUUUGAGUUGACAUGACACAGAGCAGCUCCACAUCAGACUGGGCAGGGUAGCAAGAUGGGGGUCAGCCUCUUCCCCCAGGCAACCAGUGGCAGGAGGAGAGGAAACAACCUCAAGCUGCACCAGGGGAGGUUCAGGUUCGACAGCAGGAAGAAUUUCUUCACAGAAGGGGUUGUUUAGCAUUGGAAGGGGCUGCCCAGGGAGGUGGUGGAGUCCCCAUUCCUGGGGUGUUCAAGAAAUGACUGGAGGUGGCUCUCGGUGCUCUGGUCUGGGUGACAAGGUGGUGAUCGGGCACAGGCAGAACACAAUGACCUUGGAGGUCUUUUCCAACCUAAAUGAAUCUGUAAUUCUGUGUAGCAAUGUACUCAGGCUAUGCUAACACAAGUACUGAAGCCACGUCCAUUUGGAAUUAAAGUCUGCUCACAUCCAGUUAGUCUGAAAGAAAAGUUUGCACCUGCCCAUCAUGCACCAUGAUUUUAAGCAUCCAUCAGUCCAGUAGCUGUAGAAACAGAUGAUUUUAAUUUCAUUUCUUGUAACAUGCUGUGGGUAUGGAGGAAAUUGGGGCCGCAACUCAAAAGGAGUAGGUGGGGGAUGCCUGGUGGGAUCUGAGCAAAUAGAAAAGGUUCAAAGGGUGGGUGGCAGCAACCCCUGUGAUUUAUUGCUGAAUCCCAUCCUCAUGCAUGCUGUGAACAUAGACGUGAAUGAAGUCUCUAAGCAGGUCCUGUUCUCUCUCUGCUUCGGUGCACACUGACCUGUGCUGUUCCUGCCCUGCCUCCAGCUGGAGGCAAUGAAACCAAGCCAAAGUAAAUCACAGAUACACAAAUAUAUCCACCUAGUUUUGUACCAAGGGAAAUUUAAAUCCUGCUUGACUCACCCAGGAGACACAGAACUCUGAAACAUGAAUAUUCAUUAUUAUCAUUAUCUUAAUGCUCGGCAGAAAGUACCCUGAGCAUUUUGAGGGCAAUGCAGGCAUAUUUUGUUCCAUCUCUAGUCCAAAGAACUUACCUCAUACCUGAGGUUAAUUUAAAAAUACGGAUUAAAGUAAUUAUUCAGUGUUUGAUUCAAUACUGAUUAGGCAAUGCUAUGCUUAAACCAAGAUGUGUGCUGGAAGCGUCACAAACACAAUGUAAACCAAUUAUUAGAGUAACCUUUUCUUCCCAUUCAAUCUCACCUUUGAAGAUUCCAAAUGAAUGCGGUGAAGGACUGAAGCGGGUUUGUGUGAUAAGGUUUUGGUAGCAGAGAAGCAACAACAGUGGCAUCUGGGAGAAGGUACUGGAACCUUCCCCUAUUUCCAUGGAGCCAAUUCCAGAUGGCUCCAGGAUGGACCCGCCCCUGGACAAGGCAGAGCCCAUCAGAGAUGGUGGUGGCACCUCUGGGACAAUGUGUGUAAGAAAAGAUAAAAACAAGGCAACAGCAACUGGGGAGAGAAGUGAGAAUGUGUGAGAGGAGCAGCCCUGCAGACCCCAGGGGGGAGCAGCAGGAGGGGCAGGAGGUGCUCCAGGAAUGGGAGCUGAGGUUCCCCUGCAGCCCGAGGGGCAGCCCAUGGUGAGGCAGCCGUGCCCCUGCAUCCAGGGAGGCUCAGGGGGAACAGAGAUCCACCUGCAGCCCAUGGAGGACCCCACAGCAGAGCAGGGAGAUGCCCAAAGGAGGCUGUGACUCCGUGGGAAGCCCGUGCUGGAGCAGGAUCCUGGCAGGAGCUGUGGCUCCAUGGAGAGAGGAGCCCACACUGGAGCAGGUUUGCUGGGCAGGAUUUGUGACCCCACGGGGACUUACACUGGAGCAACCUGAUCCUGAAGGAUGCACCCUAUGGGAGGGACCCAGGCUGGAGCAAAGAAAGCGUGUGAGGAGUUCUCCCUGAGAAGAAGGAGUGGCAGAGACCCUGUGUGAGGGACUGACCCCAGCCCCCAUUGCCCAUCCCUGUGCGCUGCUGAGGGGACAAGGGAGAGAAUUCGGGACUGAAGCCAAAUCUGGGAAGAAGAGCAGGGUGAGGGGACGGUGUUUUGCGAUUUGGUUUUAUUCCUCAUUGCCCUACUCUGAUUUCAUCCUUAAUGAAUUAAACUAAUUUCCCCCAGCUGAGCCUGUUUUGUCCGUGAUGAUCACUGGUGAGUGAUCUCUGCCUGCCCCAAUCUCAAUCCAGGAGCCUUUCAUUGUAUCUUCUCUUCCCUGCCCAGCUGAGGAGGGGAGUGACAGAGCAGCUGAAUUCCUGACUGGAUGUAGCAUUCCAAUCAUGGCAGUGUGUUCCUCAAAGAUGCAAUGAAGAAGGAACAGGCCCUACUAUUAUUAUUUUCCAAGGAAUAUGACAAUUCCCUGAAGCAUAAAGUGAUGUAGGCUCAUUUCCCACAGGGAGUCACCACAGGGGAUGUGGAAAUGCAAGACUUCAGACUGGAACUAAAUGUUUGCCCUGCAAGCAAUGAACAAAAAUGCAUCAGAAGCCUCUGCCCAUCACGUGCGAAGCUGAAACUGCGUCCAAGUUUCUCAGUUUCAUAAACACGCACUUCCAUCACGAGGAGCCAGGCUAAUCCAUAUGUUUGAACUUUAAUGGGAGUUGUGAGGAAGGUCCAGUCCUUCAGGUCACGGGAUUCCUCUCAGCCCGUUUUCCAAGGUUUAUGGCUCAGGCCCUCUAAGCUCCUUUCUGCUGACAGCAGGGUUUGGGCUCCUACAGGUAUGAGCCAUGGGAAAGCCUCCAGACGUGGAGGCUCCAGAUGUUCACAGCUGGCUGUGGAUGACAGGCUGCUGUGCUUCCAUCACACAGUCUGAGCAGUGGCACAGACAGUCCAGCUCUGGAACUCAGAACUGGCUGUGCCCAAUAAAUGCCACUCUGGCAAUUGCCCAAGUUUAUUAAGAGGGCUGUGAGGCAGCACUAAACUACAGAUGUGGGGACAAACUCUUGAAGAGUGUGAUCUGCAUCUUAAACUUUCCCAAGCCUUGUGACUGUUCACGUUCCACACGCUGGAGUUUCAUCAGCAGGACUGUGUCUGCAAUUAAUAUGAUGAGUGGUUGCAACCACCUCAUGGAAUGGGAAGAGUUGUUCUCCUGGCAUUGCUGUGAUACAGCAAAACAACUUCUGGCUGAGGAACCAAGGGCUCUGAGUGAGCAAAGGGGACGGAGACACAGAGAGGUGGUUUCUGACUUAUGGUGGAAGUCUUGAACUGCCCUGCUUUUCUGUGGGAGUUGCCUGUGCCAUGAGGGAUGUCUUGCUCUGGGAAUCUCCUGGCGGGUUCCUGAUAUCUGUCUGCUGGGUAGAAAAUUGAUCUUAGUGGAUUGGAAAGGAGUUCUUAAAAUAGAUCAUGAAUAUAUGGUUGUGUUCUUCUGUGUAUCUUCUCUAUACAUCUUUCCUUCUCUUCAGCUGAACCUCUCAUACAUAUAUAUAAAUAUAUAUAUGUAUAUAUAUGUACCUCCAUUUAUUUCAUAGUCUCUUUGAAUCACUGGGGUUGGAAAAGCCCUCUAAGAUUGAAUCCAACCAUUACCUCAGCAUCACUGUGUUCACCCCUAAACCACAGUCCUGAGUGCCACAUCCACACACCUUUUGAACUCCUUCAGGGAUGUUGACUCCACCACUCCUCUGGGCAGCCUAUUCCAGUGCCUGACCAUCCAUUCAAUGAAGAACUUUUUCCCAAUAUCCAAUCUAAACCUCCCCUGUUGCAGCUUGAGGCCAUUUCCUCUGCUCCCUGUCUGCUCCUGUAUUUAUUCUUGUACAUACUUAAGUCUGGUUUUGAAACUUCUCAGUUUGGCUCCUGACUUUGUGAAAACAAGUUAUGUUUUUCUGUUAUCCCUUGUGAAGGGUGAUUGAUAUCAGAAGGGUCAUAUUUAUUACUUCAUUGCUACUUUCCAUAAAUCUUACAGGUGAUAUUAAUGUUAUAAUGUUAAACAGGCAGUGAAUUGACUUUGACGGGAAAAAGAAUAAUUCUGAGAUCAUAUCCAAAAGUAGCUGUUUUUAGAGCAAGCUCUUAACAACCAUGUUUCCCUUUUAGCAUGAUGCAUAAUCCCAUUAUAUUAAACACAUAACAAAAACCCCCCCAUAAAAAUAGAAGGUACAAGACAUAAUUAUUGACUCUGUUUGGCCUGAAGGAAUAAAACUCUGUUUCAGCCAAGCAAGAUAACAUCAAAUUUUUAUUCCUUGCAUUUCAUUACUUAUGACUCAUCUCUGGCCAAUCCAAUUAUCAUUCUAAAUACUGCAACUGUUUUCAAAACUUAUUUCACAUCAAUUUAGACAACUUCCCCUGUACUCUUUACCAAAAUCAAACAAGUAGUAAAUUAAAACAAGACGCACUAGCAAUGCAUCGAGAAAGUUAGGACUGAGAAUUUGAAAGAAAAAAAAGGAAAAGCUAAAAUAAAGGAGAAAGUCCUGAAACCUGAGUUAAAAACCAGGUAACAGCAACAGAGUGUACUCUUUUCCUGCCCAGAAGGCUAUAGAGGGCCUAUUGUUUCUUUUCAGGAAGAAGGAAAUGAAAAUAUAAUGGACAGAUUGGAAAUGAAUUCAGUAGCAUGUCAUAAGAUUUAAAAUCUUGGACAAUUUUUUAAAAUCUAUUAUUUUUGGUUUGUUUUGAGGUGCUGUAGUUUGUAGUAGCUGUAAAGCUACAGCCCUAAAGCUGCCUUUGCAAUUUUGGAAAUCAUUCUGUUGGUGAGUGAAGGUGGAGGCGAUGGCACACGGAAACAGGAGCUUUGGCAGCAGCAUUCCUGAACUCUACUUUUCUUCUCCACUUUUCUUCUCAGUAAAUGUCCAAAUCUUUCAUUUCUUGCAGAUCCUUAAGAGUAUCCCUUUUCCUGCUGUUUAGGUAGGAAGGGAAGGAUGUUUGGGCUGCAAUUAAGCAACAUCUUUGAAGUGGAUUGAGAGAGACCUGCAACUCAUGUCUGGACUACUCUACUUUCUGCUUCUUAAAGCUGUUUUCUAAAGAAACCUGUCAGCAAGUCCUCCAAAGAUGAACAAACUAGCCAUAUAAUUAUAAUUUAGUUACUUCUGUGUUAUCUAUUUGGGUCUUCUUUGCUUUUCCACCUCCUAGUCUUUUUUAAUCAGCAUAACUCAGAGUAUAUUUCCAUUGUCCUUGUCUCUAUUAGUGGGUUUUAUUUUAGUUUUUGUCCCAAGGUACAAAACUGUUUCCCACAGUAAAAGCCCAGAGCAGUUAGCCACAAUUAAUAUAUGUAGAAAAGUAGGAAUUUGUUGGUUGCAGUGGAAAACAAGGUUCUGGUUCGGUGAUGUGCAUCCUCCAAAUUCAGCAAAGGGUUUAAACACUCAGGAGGAGCAGCAUCUUCAUGCAACAACAGUACAGAGCCUCUGGUGAUAAUAUAAUUCAAGCAGUUGUUUAGUCCUGAAAUCUUCCAGGAACCUCUGCAAAUUGUGAACAGAAAUUUUUUAUUUGGUUGCUGUUGUUGCAGAGGUACUUGAGCCAGGUCCAGGCUUUCCCAGAAUGCAGGCAGGAUUAUUCCUGGACUUGUUUUUCAUCUUGUUUUACCGAGAAGUUUUGUUGUUUUGGGUUUUUUUUUUGUUUGUUUGUUUUGUUUUUUUUUUUCCACAAAAUAAGCUCUGUAGGAUGUGGAUUUACAGAUCCCUUUACACUUGGUCUAGUCCUGAGGCAAACUCAAACCAAAUUUGUCCCAGUCCUUUACAGCCUGAUAACCUAUCCCAAAUUAUGGCCCACUCUUUGUGGUUAUAACUAUGCAUGAGAACAGAUAUUGCAAGGUAACAGGUGAAAAGUUCAUACCUAAUUGCUUUAUAGUGUCUUGUUUCUUUGGCUCAACCCCAUCUCAUGAGACUUAUUUGAAAUAGUAUCUUUUGCAGGUACUGGGAAUUGGAAACACUUCAUGGCAUUUGCACCCUUGCUGUGAAAUGGAAAACAUUUUAGAUGCAUUAUAAACAGGAGAAAAGUCCUUAGAGGGUCCCACUCUGACACACUGCGAGUUUUGUAACAAUUAAUUAACUGGAUGAGCUCAUAAAUGUAAUAAGUGUGCCAAAUGUGACAGUGGUUCCAAUUUCCCCUGGGUGUAUUACCUGAUUAGCAUUGAUUUACUACCCUGGUCUCUGUUGGAUUAAAUAAAGUUCUUGCAAACACACCAUAUUUCAAGUAACUGCAUUAAAUCCCCCCCUCCCCCCCAAAAAAAGA